AUUGAACGCUGGCGGCAGGCCUAACACAUGCAAGUCGAACGAGUGGCGGACGGGUGAGUAAUGUCUGGGAAACUGCCCGAUGGAGGGGGAUAACUACUGGAAACGGUAGCUAACACCGCAUACCAUUGGAUGUGCCCAGAUGGGAUUAGCUAGAAGGUGGGGAAAGGGAUCACCUAGGCGACGAUCCCUAGCGGGUCUGAGAGGACGACCAGCCACACUGGAACUGAGACACUGUCCAGCCUCCUACGGUAGGCAGCAGUGGGGAAUUUUGCACAAUGGGCGCAAGCCUGAUUCAGCCAUGCCGCGUGUAUGAAGAAGGCCUUCGGGUUGUAAAGUACUUUCAGCGAGGAGGCGUUACUCGCAGAAGAAGCACCGGCUAACUCCGUGCCAGCAGCCGCGGUAAUUC
rnacentral:rRNA from 1 species